rnacentral:rRNA from 1 species
AGGUAAAGCAAGAAAGGGCGUAUGGGGAAUGCCUAGGCACACUCCGGCGAAGAAGGACGCAGCAAACAGCGAAAUGCGACGGUGAGCGGUAAGCACGUGAAGAGCCGUCGAUAUCCGAAUGGGGGAACCCACACGGAGUCAUAUCCGUGUAUCACAUGUCGAAUACAUAGACAUGAUGAGGCGAGACGCAGGGAACUGAAACAUCUAAGUACCUGCAGGAAGAGAAAAUAACAUAGACAUGGAUGAGGCGAGACGCAGGGAACUGAAACAUCUAAGUACCUGCAGGAAGAGAAAAUAAGAAUGAUUUUCUGAGUAGCGGCGAGCGAAAGGGAAAGAGCCCAAACCGAUUUGAGGAUCGGGGUAGUAGGAUCAUCGAUAAAUCAAACAGAGGAUCAUAGAGGAAUCACAUGGGAAGGUGAGCGAGAGAGGGUGAGAGCCCCGUACUCGAAAUGAGAGACUGGAGAGAGAUGACACCUGAGUAGGGCGGGACACGAGAAAUCCUGUCUGAAUCAGCCGGGACCAUCCGGCAAGGCUAAAUACGAGAGAGUGACCGAUAGUGAACCAGUACCGUGAGGGAAAGGUGAAAAGGACCCCGGGAGGGGAGUGAAAGAGAACCUGAAACCCUGUGUACAAGAAGUCAGAGCCCGUUAAAGGGUGAUGGCGUGCCUUUUGUAGAAUGAACCGGCGAGUUACUGUAUGGAGCGAGGUUAAGCAGGAUAUGCGGAGCCGAAGCGAAAGCGAGUCUUAAGAGGGCGCGAGUUGCAUGCAGUAGACCCGAAACCGGGUGAUCUAGCCAUGACCAGGUUGAAGUUGGGGUAAAACCCGAUGGAGGACCGAACCGACCCCCGUUGAAACGUUGGCGGAUGAGUUGUGGCUAGGGGAGAAAUUCCAAUCGAACCCGGAGAUAGCUGGUUCUCCCCGAAAUAGCUUUAGGGCUAGCGUCGAGAGAAGAGUUGCGUGAAGGUAGAGCACUGAAUAUGUGAUGGCCCCAUCUCGGGGUACUGAGCAUAAUCAAACUGCGAAUGUCACGCCAACAUGCUCGGCAGUCAGACAGCGGGUGAUAAGGUCCGUUGUCAAGAGGGAAACAGCCCAGACCAUCAGCUAAGGUCCCAAAAUGUAUGCUAAGUGGAAAAGGAUGUGGAGAUGUACAGACAACUAGGAGGUUGGCUCAGAAGCAGCCAUCCUUUAAAGAGUGCGUAACAGCUCACUAGUCGAAUGACUCUGCGCCGAUAAUUUACCGGGGCUAAGCAUACUACCGAAGCUAUGGAUCCCAAGGGAUGGUAGGGGAGCGUUCCAUGAACGGAGAAGUACGACCGAAAGGACGUGUGGAGAUCAUGGAAGAGAGAAUGCCGGUGUGAGUAGCGGAACGUGGGUGAGAAUCCCACGCACCGAAAACCCAAGGUUCCAGAGGAAGGUUCGUCCGCUCUGGGUAAGUCGGGACCUAAGGCGAGGCCGAAAGGCGUAGUCGAUGGACAACAGGUAGAGAUUCCUGUACCCGUAUAUAUGUGAAGGAAUGACGGAGAGAGGAAGCUGCAGCCAGCGGCUGGAAGAGCUGGUGCAAGCGAGAUAUCGGGAUGGCAGGCAAAUCCACCAUCCGAAACGAGAAGGCGUGAAGCGUACGGAAAGCUACGGCGAGUACGGAAGGCAGUGGAGGAACUUCCAAGAAAAGUUUCUAACGUUAAGUAUAUAUGGCCCGUACCGAAAAUGGACACACAUGGGUGAGGAGAGAAUCCUAAGGUGAGCGAGAGAACUAUAGCUAAGGAACUCUGCAAAAUGACUCCGUAACUUAGGGAGAAGGAGUGCUCAUAGAGAUAUGAGCCGCAACUUAGGGAGAAGGAGUGCUCAUAGAGAUAUGAGCCGCAGUGAAACGGCCCAAGCGACUGUUUACCAAAACACAGCUCUCUGCUAAGCCGCAAGGCGAAGUAUAGGGGGUGACGCCUGCCCGGUGCUGGAAGGUUAAGAGGAAACGCAAGUGAAGCCCUGAACUGAAGCCCCAGUAAACGGCGGCCGUAACUAUAACGGUCCUAAGGUAGCGAAAUUCCUUGUCGGGUAAGUUCCUGACCCGCACGAAAGGCGUAACGAUUGGCGCUGUCUCAGCUGUAGACUCGGUGAAGUCUUAGUACCUGUGAAGAUGCAGGUUACCCGCGACAGACGGAAAGAC